rnacentral:rRNA from 1 species
AUUGAACGCUGGCGGCAGGCCUAACACAUGCAAGUCGAGCGAGCGGCGGACGGGUGAGUAAUGUAUGGGGACUGCCCGAUAGAGGGGGAUAACUACUGGAAACGGUAGCUAAUACCGCAUACUAUCGGAUAACCCAUAUGGGAUUAGCUAGUAGGGGAGGUAAUGGCCCACCUAGGCGACGAUCCCUAGCUGGUCUGAGAGGAUGAUCAGCCACACUGGAACUGAGACACGGCCCAGACUCCUACGGAGGCAGCAGUGGGGAAUAUUGCACAAUGGGCGCAAGCCUGAUGCAGCCAUGCCGCGUGUAUGAAGAAGGCCCUCGGGUUGUAAAGUACUUUCAGUCGGGAGGCGUUACCAACAGAAGAAGCACCGGCUAACUCCGUGCCAGCAGCCGCGGUAAUUC